AGCGAACGUUAGCGGCGGGCCUAACACAUGCAAGUCGAGCGAGAAAGGGGCUUCGGCCCUGAGUAAAGCGGCGGACGGGUGAGUAACACGUAGGUAAUCUUCCUUCGAGCGGGGGACAACGGUCCGAAAGGACCGCUAAUACCGCGUACGUUCCCGAGGACCCUGGUCCUUGGGAGGAAAGCUAGGUCGCAAGAUCCGACACUCGGAGAGGAGCCUGCGUCGCAUCAGCUAGUUGGUGGGGUAAUGGCCUACCAAGGCGAAGACGCGUAGCUGGUCUGAGAGGAUGAUCAGCCACACUGGGACUGAGACACGGCCCAGACUCCUACGGGAGGCAGCAGUGGGGAAUAUUGGACAAUGGGCGCAAGCCUGAUCCAGCCACGCCGCGUGAGUGAUGAAGGCCUUCGGGUCGUAAAGCUCUGUGGGGAGGGACGAACCGCUGCACGUGGAUAGCGUGCAGCAUGACGGUACCUCCUUAGCAAGCGCCGGCUAACUUCGUGCCAGCCGCCGCGGUAA
rnacentral:rRNA from 1 species